GGGGGUAUGGCUCAAUGAAAGAGCAUUUGACUGCAAAUCAAGAGGGCCCCGGUUCAAAUCCGGGUGCCCCUU